GGAUGGGUACCGAAGCGGCCAAACGGGGCAGACUGUAAAUCUGCUGGCUUUAUGCCUUCGGGGGUUCGAAUCCCUCCCCAUCCACCA
rnacentral:tRNA from 1 species